GUCCCUUCUGGGUCAUCCGAUAAAAUUGGAACGAUAUAGAGAAGAUUGACAUGGUUCCUGCGCAGGGACGACACGCAUAAAUCGAGAAAUUGUCCAAAUUUUU
rfam:Brassica oleracea var. oleracea cultivar TO1000 chromosome C7, whole genome shotgun sequence